GACGAACGCUGGCGGCGUGCUUAACACAUGCAAGUCGAACGGAAAGGCCCUGCUUUUGUGGGGUGCUCGAGUGGCGAACGGGUGAGUAACACGUGAGUAACCUGCCCUUGACUUUGGGAUAACUUCAGGAAACUGGGGCUAAUACCGGAUAGGAGCUCCUGCUGCAUGGUGGGGGUUGGAAAGUUUCGGCUGUUGGGGAUGGACUCGCGGCUUAUCAGCUUGUUGGUGGGGUAGUGGCUUACCAAGGCUUUUACGGGUAGCCGGCCUGAGAGGGUGACCGGCCACAUUGGGACUGAGAUACGGCCCAGACUCCUACGGGAGGCAGCAGUGGGGAAUAUUGCACAAUGGGCGGAAGCCUGAUGCAGCAACGCCGCGUGCGGGAUGACGGCCUUCGGGUUGUAAACCGCUUUCGCCUGUGACGAAGCGUGAGUGACGGUAAUGGGUAAAGAAGCACCGGCUAACUACGUG
rnacentral:rRNA from 1 species